rnacentral:lncRNA from 13 species
UUCUAUUUGUCUGUGCAGUAGCAUGUCAUGUUUCACUGGUGUCAUGGUCUUAUGCCACAGGUGAGCUGUCCUCAUGGUUAUUGACAUUGAAGUAGCUUUUCUUGACAUAAUAUAUUCAACCAGUGUAAUAAUAUUAUAAUGUAAUAUCUCUGGGUGCUCUAUAGAAGAGGCCUUGUAAAUAUUCAGACAGGUCUUUCCCUUAUUGACUAGCUAGAGCAUACUGUCUAGCUGGAACAUUCCUGUAAUGUUCUCCACAGGAAGCCCAUAUAAGGGGGGCCAUAUUGAAAAGCAAGACGUUUGAAACAUCAGCCAGACAGUAUGCUCUAGCUAGUCAAUAAGGAAAAAUACCUCUGUCUGAAUAUUUACAAGGCCUCUGCUAUAGGGCACCCAGAGAUCUCACCAUUUAGUUAAAAUUAUACAGUUGUAUUGUUAAUUGUGGUGUACAUUUUUAUUAUAAAUGUAAAACAAAAACCUCACAAUUGACACUUUUUUUUUUUUUUUGUCUCUUGUUGUAAUGAUCUGCCUGAUGAGUCUAGGCCCAAGCCUCCAAAUGCUCUGUUAAAGUAAUCCCUCUUCCCCCAGGUGGUGUGAAUACAUCUCUCUCUACAGCUCAGAACAACUUGUCUCUGUGUUUCAUCUGCAUGACUGAGAGGUGUCAAGAUGUAAAAAAGAUUUUCAAUUCCAUGAGCGAUGACAAACUUUGGAUGCAAAGUACUGAAACGUCUGCCCUUCUUGACUGUUCCCUGACCUCGUCUCCCUCUUCUGGGAAGUGUGUGCCAUGUUUUGAGGACCGCAAGGUCUACGUUGUGUGCCUUGACAUGCCCAAGGAUCUCAAACUGGACCUGGAGUGGGGCAGUGUUAGCAUCUCCCUUUCCAACACUGAAGCUACAUGCCCUAGACUUAAAACGCCUGGAGCUGUUGGUCAAGCUGGACACAACAGUGGAGUCAGAGGUCUUGCUGGGCAUCCUGGUGAGUAAAGAAAACCCACAGAACAGCAAUGCUCAACUCGAGCUUCAGCGUGUACACCGAGAAUAAAGAUACAAACUCUGAAUACUUUGAUGUGGUGGUGUGUGCAAGAGAGACUUUGUUGUUCGUCGAGAACAUUCUACAAAUCAAAUCUGAAGAUCAGCAAUGGGUAGUAGUGUAUAUCGGUGUUGGACGAUUCAUUUUCUAUGUGUUUAACUGCUCUCCCUGUCCUCUUCUCCCACACAUCCAAACCCACCACUUCAAUCUCUGAUGGCACUGGGAGCUUAUACAAAGGAGCAAUGAUCGCUAUUGGCAUGUUAGCAGCUGCUGUCAUUGUCGCUUAAUACAGAAGCCAGACCAAAUCAAGUGAGUAAGCAGGCAGGGGUGAUACAGGGUUUAUUGGCUCAACAAAUGUCCCUUUUAUAUUGGAGAAUACAGGGUUAACACAAAUUUCUUGCUAACAAACUAUAGUUUUGGCAAGUCGGUUAGGACAUCUACUUUGUGCACAAGACAAGUAAUUUUUCCAACAAUUGUUUACAGACAGAUUAUUUCACUUAUAAUUCACUGUAUCACAAUUCCAGUGGGUCAGAAGUGAACAUACACUAAGUUGACUGUGCCUUUUAACAGCUUGGAAAAUUCCAGAAAAUGAUGUCAUGGCUUUAGAAACUUCUGAUAGGCUAAUUGACAUCAUUUGUGUCAAUUGGAGGUGUACCUGUUGAUGUAUUUCAAGGCCUACCUUCAAACUCAGUGCCUCUUUGCUUGACAUCAUAGGAAAAUCAAAAGAAAUCAGCCAAGACCUCAGAAAAAUAAUUGUAGACCUCCACAAGUCUGGUUCAUCCUUGGGAGCAAUUUCCAAAUGCCUGAAGGUACCACGUUCAUCUGUUCAAACAAUAGUACGCAAGUAUAAACACCAUGGGACCACGCAGCCGUCAUUCCGCUCAGGAAGGAGACACGUUCUGACUCCUAGAGAUGAACAUACUUUGGUGCGAAAAGUGCAAAUCAAUCCUAGAACAACAGCAAAGGACCUUGUGAAGGUGCUGGAGGAAACAGGUACAAAAGUAUCUAUAUCCACAGUAAAAACGAGUCCUAUAUCGACAUAACGUGAAAGGCCGCUCAGCAAGGAAGAAGCCACUGCUCCAAAACCGCCAUAAAAAAAAGCCAGACUACGGUUUGCAACUGCACAUGUGGACAAAGAUCGUACUUUUUGGAGAAAUGUCCUCUGGUCCGAUGAAACAAAAAUAGAACUGUUUGGCCAUAAUGACCAUCAUUAUGUUUGGAGGAAAAAGGAGGCUUGCAAGC